GGAGCAGAGCCAAGGAAGAGGGAGCGAGCUCCGGGCUCCGAAGGAGGGGCCGCAGCUGGAGUGGGUCCAGUCGCUGGGUAGGGUUUUCAGUAAACUGUGCUCCCGUCUCUGUAGGCUCACCUUUCAGGUGUGUUGCGUAUUUUCAUAAGCUUCUGUACCAGAAUUGGACACUGAAAGGAGCAGGCUUCAGAUGAGUGCAUCUCCUUCUUUCUUCCUUUUCACCGAGACCACCUUGCCAAAACAGCAUCUGCUACCAAAGGGACCCUCCAAGGAGUUUCUGCCUCAUUAUCAGAGCUUCUGGUGCUACUAGAAGCUGGCUCUUAAUUUUUUAAGGUUUCGACUUAACGCUUCUCUAAAGUAUUCCCUGGCUUCACUAUUGAAGGAGAAACUGCAUGGGAAAGUGUUCACCUAAGUCCAGCCUUCUAGACAUCCAUAUUCAGACACGAUGAGUGAGUUACACUGUCUUUCACUCUCCAACUCUGCUCAACAAUCAGCUGAAUACCACCAAGUGGCUACCUAGUCAAAGCUAGAUGGAGUAGAUGAGCCUCUUAGCCAAUCUCUGCUUGAAUUUAUGAUUAUAAAA